AUCCUUGAUGAUGAGGAGAUGGUGUCCUAUAUCUUAUCUGGUCUCGACAUGGAGUAUAAUCCCUUGGUUCAGUCUAUUGUUGCAAGGUCAGAUCUGAUUUUUUUAAGUGACCUUUAUGCACAAAUGUUAAGCUUUGACA